UAGUAGAAAAAGUAGAAAAA
rnacentral:siRNA from 1 species